UACGAAGGGUGCAAGCGUUACUCGGAAUUACUGGGCGUAAAGCGUGCGUAGGUGGUUUGUUAAGUCUGAUGUGAAAGCCCUGGGCUCAACCUGGGAAUUGCAUUGGAUACUGGCAGGCUAGAGUGCGGUAGAGGAUGGCGGAAUUCCCGGUGUAGCAGUGAAAUGCGCAGAUAUCAGGAAGAACACCCGUGGCUAAGGCGGCUCUCUAGUACGGUACUGACGCUGAGACGCGAAAGCGUGGGGAGCGAACAGG
rnacentral:rRNA from 1 species